rnacentral:rRNA from 1 species
AUGACCAUCGUAGUCACCAAAUCAUCGCCGGUGGCGGUCACGGGCCCGGAGAAGCUGGGGACGGCGCGCCGUGGGAUCAUCAACCUCUCCUCUUUUGAUAAGUGUUUGGCUCCAAUUCCUGUCUCGCUGCUCCUCAUCUUCGAUCAGCCAAUCGACGACCCUGUUGAGACAAUCAAGAAGGCCCUGUCGCAGGCACUGGUGCUCUACUACCCUAUGGCUGGCCGCCUCGUCGCUGGACCCGACGGGGCGCCGAACCACAUCUCGUGCUCCGGGGAGGGCGUCUCGUUCGUGGGCGCGCUGGCGAGCUGUGUGCUGGACCAAUUCACGACGUGGCCGCUGCUCGCCGGACAGCUCGCCCCCCGCUACCCUGCCGAGUACUGCCGCUCAGACGACGCCAUGCUGCUGAUGCAGGUGACCGAGUUCGCCUGCGGCGGGUUCGUCGUGGGCGUGACGUGGAACCACGUCAUGGCCGACGCCGCGGGGAUGGCGCAGUUCCUGCAGGCCGUCGGCGAGCUUGCCCGUGGGAUGCCAGCGCCGUCCGUCGUGCCUGUCAGGUCCCAAGUGCUGCCCUGCCUCCCGCCCAAGAUGGUCGCCGCAGCGAGGUCUCGGAUCCGUGUCGGAACGGAGGAAAUGACAAGCCUGGACGUCACCGUCUCAUGGAGCCUGAUUGCCCACAUCAGGGCCGAGUGCGGCGGCACGGUGUUCGACGCUGUCGCGGCCGUGCUCUGGCAGUGCCGCACCCGUGCUGUCAUCUUCGAACCCGAUACGCCUGUGCCUCUCGUCUUCGCGAGCAACAUGCGCGGGCUUGUGGGCGCCAAGCGCGGCUACUACCGAAACUGCAUCAUGCGGCAGCCGGUCAUGGCCAUGAGCGGCACAGUGGCAUGCGGCGACGUCAAGGAGCUGGUGAAGCUCAUCAGGCUCGCCAAGGAAAAGACGCCGGGCCUGCUCACGAACGGCGGCGGUGGGGAUAUGCUGCAGCCGACCACGCCCCCUCCGAGGUACAACACGCUGGUUGUGACGAGCUUGAGGAACCUUGGGUUCGACGAGGUGGACUUCGGGCGUGGGCAUCCGGCGCGGGUGAUGCCGCCGCUGGGCAAGGUCGUGCGGACGGCGACAAACCCCUGCGUUCUAUGCCCGCCAUGCAUGGCAAAGGACGGCAUCAACGUCAUGUCCUUCUGUGUGAAGCCGGAGCACGCCGAUGGCUUCUUACGGGAGUUGGCCGCGAUGCACAUGCACAUGCACGCGCGUUUAUAG